AGUCACUGACAUUAGAUACCCGUGUAGUCCAGGGUGUAAACGCUGCAGACUUGGUGUUGGGAACCCUUCGGGGGUGCUCAGUGCCGGAGAGAAGUUGUUAAGUCUGCUACUUGGGGAGUACGUCCGCAAGGAUGAAACUUAAAGGAAUUGGCGGGGGAGCACCGCAACGGGAGGAGCGUGCGGUUUAAUUGGAUUCAACACCGUAAAACUCACCAGGGAAGACUGUUACAUGAAGGCCGAGAUGAAGACUCUGCUAGAUUUUCAG
rnacentral:rRNA from 1 species